GAUGAACGCUGGCGGCGUGCCUAAUACAUGCAAGUCGAGCGAACAGAUGAGGAGCUUGCUCCUCUGACGUUAGCGGCGGACGGGUGAGUAACACGUGGAUAACCUACCUAUAAGACUGGGAUAACUUCGGGAAACCGGAGCUAAUACCGGAUAAUAUAUUGAACCGCAUGGUUCAAUAGUGAAAGACGGUUUUGCUGUCACUUAUAGAUGGAUCCGCGCCGCAUUAGCUAGUUGGUAAGGUAACGGCUUACCAAGGCAACGAUGCGUAGCCGACUGAAAGGGUGAUCGGCCACACUGGAACUGAGACACGGUCCAGACUCCUACGGGAGGCAGCAGUAGGGAAUCUUCCGCAAUGGGCGAAAGCCUGACGGAGCAACGCCGCGUGAGUGAUGAAGGUCUUCGGAUCGUAAAACUCUGUUAUUAGGGAAGAACAAAUGUGUAAGUAACUAUGCACGUCUUGACGGUACCUAAUCAGAAAGCCACGGCUAACUACGUG
rnacentral:rRNA from 1 species